CUGUGAACUACGAGUUCAGCACGCUCUUGGAAGCUUCGUGUGUUGGCGAGACGGUGCUUCAGCGGUGGUCGUUUCUUGAGUCGAGUGGGUUGCGCAAUUCAUGCUGCACUACCCCCUGUCGUGUUGCAAGCAGCCAAUUCCCCUGUGCGCCUCAGCACUAAAAGAGCAUUUCCUAAAGAGCAAAUUUCUCUAAAAGAGCUUCACGGGUGUGUCUUUGUAAAGACGUGAGGAUCAUCCUUAUAAGGAUGCUAUUUCACCCAUGCGUUUCUGGGAGUGGUCGUUACCUGGCAACAGGUGAUGGUCACGAUCGCUGUCUCAGGUGUCUGGGCAUCAAGCCCGCUGACGUGGCCUUCGUGGAUAAGUCAUGUUCCCACUGCGGAAGAUGACCAUCUCAGAGCUGCGAACCAGGAACCAGGAGUCCUGCUGCCACGAUCUGGGGCUUGUUCUGGUGGCCGACAGAUGAGAAUCACUUCCAACAGUUGCACGGGUGGUUUGAGGAUUACAGUGGUGGCAAACCCUGCAGGGAACCAACCCUCUGGGGACCAUCACUCCUCUUGCACCUCCAAUCCAGUGGAGCAACCCAUGGAAUGCGCUGGGUCCUCUUCAAAGAGCGUACCAGCGGUAUCCAGUGGGCCUCCCCCCGACCAGAUGUCGAUCUCAGCAUCAGAGGGAGAGCUGUCCGAUGAAGAUUCGGCCGCGCUGCCGCCCCCCGGGAUGGUGGCAAAGCCUGAAUCGGAUCUAAAGAUAACAGCUAUGCUUUCCCGGGCCGCCAAGAGGGUAGGGCUUGAGUGGAAAUCUCCACCACGUCCCAAGCCCUUGAGGCAGGAUGAUUGGUUUCUCAAGGUGGCUCGCGCUGGUUCUCAGCGCCCCACCCCGGUGCCUUUCUUCCCGGAAGUGCAUGACGAGCUCACCAGGUCAUGGAUGGCACCUUUUACUGCCAGAAACCGGCCGGUGGGCUCCUCCUCCCUCCCCACCCUCGAUGGAGGUGGAGCGAAGGGGUAUUCUGUGGUUCCUCCAGUGGUAGCGGGUGGUAGCGAUGCAAUUGUUUCCUAGGUCUGCCUCCUGCUGGCGGGGAGACCCGGUGCUUCCUUCCCG
ensembl:lncRNA